ACAAGUUGGCAGUUCCUCGCCCACUGCCACCCAAAUACAGGUAUAAGAAAUCCUUAUCUGUACGUAACAGACGAUGGAGACGAAGUGAUUAUUAUGUGUGGCAAAAGAUUAUUUU
rnacentral:lncRNA from 1 species